rnacentral:rRNA from 1 species
GAUGAACGCUGGCGGCGUGCCUAAUACAUGCAAGUCGAGCGAACGGACGAGAAGCUUGCUUCUCUGAUGUUAGCGGCGGACGGGUGAGUAACACGUGGAUAACCUACCUAUAAGACUGGGAUAACUUCGGGAAACCGGAGCUAAUACCGGAUAAUAUUUUGAACCGCAUGGUUCAAAAGUGAAAGACGGUCUUGCUGUCACUUAUAGAUGGAUCCGCGCUGCAUUAGCUAGUUGGUAAGGUAACGGCUUACCAAGGCAACGAUGCAUAGCCGACCGGAGAGGGUGGUCAGCCACACUAGAACGGAGACGCGGUACAGACUACUACGGGAGGCAGGAGAAGGGUAUGUUACACAGAGGGAGGAAGGCGGACGGGAAAACGCCGAGUGAGUGAUGAAGGUCUUCGGAUCGUAAUACUCUGCUAUUAGGGAAGAACAUAUGUGUAAGUAACUGUGAACAGCUUGACGGUACCUAAUCAGAAAGGCACGGCUAACUACGUG